CAAUUUAUCGCCCUGCUCCUCAAGUCGUGCUGACUAUUGUGUAGGUUUUUCCAUUGACACAGUAGCUGCUUUUCUUCUGAAAAUAUGGCAUUUGAUAGAAUAUUUUAAAAUUACGAGUGUAAGUCACUUAAAGUAGCUAUUAAAGAAUGCCAUUCUUUUAUUAGUACGUAAAUAUUUAUACAUGCUUCAUAUGAGCUGCAGUUCUGAAUGGGUAAGGCACCGCAGGACGCUUUUUACAUGAUAUGGUAUUUCUUCUCUUGGUAUAUAAAUAUUUUCAGUAAACUUUUAAUGUUUAAUAGCUACUUAGCAUUUUAUGGUAUCAUUAAUUUCUAAUUUGCAUAGCUAUUCUCUGGGCAUGUGGGUUCUGAUUUUUGUAAUUAUAAAUUACGCUGUUAUGAAUUUUAUAUACUAUGCCUGUUUGGGGAUUGGGCAAGUA
rnacentral:lncRNA from 1 species